GCAAUGAUCUGUCCGUGAACAUGACCCACGCAGAUGCCCGCCCCCCACCCUUGUAAGAAGCGCCCUGAAUGUGAUUUCCAGCAGCAACCGGACCUGAUGGAUGGGAUCAGGACUGUGACCUUCCAGAGCCUGGUUGGGUCCCGACCUAUCCUGAAUCUAUGAAGAGGCUUCGACUGUUGGCGUGAUGGUGGUGGACAGCUGUAAUCCUGCGCUCAAGAGGAUGGAUCACGAGUUGGAGGCCAGCAUGGGAUACGUGAUGCGGAAACUGAAGCUCAGAGGGGGAAAGACUGAAUUCAGGAUAGCACGCUGGCUUCCCAGUCUCCACUGAGGGACUGUACACCCACACGCUUGGCCCCAUUCGGUGCUAACCCUGUGACCCG